GUAGGGAAUCUUCCACAAUGGACGAAAGUCUGAUGGAGCAACGCCGCGUGAACGAUGAAGGCCUUCGGGUCGUAAAGUUCUGUUGUAAGGGAAGAACAAGUGCCGCAGGCAAUGGCGGCACCUUGACGGUACCUUGCGAGAAAGCCACGGCUAACUACGUGCCAGCAGCCGCGGUAAUACGUAGGUGGCAAGCGUUGUCCGGAAUUAUUGGGCGUAAAGCGCGCGCAGGCGGCCUCUUAAGUCUGAUGUGAAAGCCCCCGGCUCAACCGGGGAGGGCCAUUGGAAACUGGGAGGCUUGAGUAUAGGAGAGAAGAGUGGAAUUCCACGUGUAGCGGUGAAAUGCGUAGAGAUGUGGAGGAACACCAGUGGCGAAGGCGACUCUUUGGCCUAUAACUGACGCUGAGGCGCGAAAGCGUGGGGAGCAAACAGGAUUAGAUACCCGGGUAGUCC
rnacentral:rRNA from 1 species